AAUGAACGCUGGCGGCAGGCCUAAUACAUGCAAGUCGAACGAGUGGCGGACGGGUGUGUAAUGUCUGGGAAACUGCCUGAUGGAGGGGGAUAACUACUGGAAACGGUAGCUAAUACCGCAUACCAUCGGAUGUGCCCAGAUGGCAUUAGCUAGUAGGUGGGGUAAAGGCUCACCUAGGCGAAGAUCCCUAGCUGGUCUGAGAGGAUGACCGGCCACACUGGAACUGAGACACGGUCCAGACUCCUACGGGAGGCAGCAGUGGGGAAUAUUGCGCAAUGGGCGAAAGCCUGAUGCAGCCAUGCCGCGUGUAUGAAGAAGGCCUUCGGGUUGUAAAAUUCUUUCAGCGGGGAGGCGUUACCCGCAGAGAAAGCACCGGCUAACUCCGUGCCAGCAGCCGCGGUAAUUC
rnacentral:rRNA from 1 species